rnacentral:rRNA from 1 species
GCUCCUCUGAUUUAGCGGCGGACGGGUGAGUAACACGUGGGUAAUCUGCCUGUAAGACGGGGAUAACUCCGGGAAACCGGGGCUAAUACCGGAUAACAAGAGAAGAAGCAUUUCUCUCUUUUUGAAAGUCGGUUUCGGCUGACACUUACAGAUGAGCCCGCGGCGCAUUAGCUAGUUGGUGAGGUAACGGCUCACCAAGGCGACGAUGCGUAGCCGACCUGAGAGGGUGAUCGGCCACACUGGGACUGAGACACGGCCCAGACUCCUACGGGAGGCAGCAGUAGGGAAUCUUCGGCAAUGGGCGAAAGCCUGACCGAGCAACGCCGCGUGAGCGAUGAAGGCCUUCGGGUCGUAAAGCUCUGUUGUUAGAGAAGAACAAGUACGAGAGUAACUGCUCGUACCUUGACGGUACCUAACCAGAAAGCCACGGCUAACUACGUGCCAGCAGCCGCGGUAAUACGUAGGUGGCAAGCGUUAUCCGGAAUUAUUGGGCGUAAAGCGCGCGCAGGCGGUCUCUUAAGUCUGAUGUGAAAGCCCACGGCUCAACCGUGGAGGGUCAUUGGAAACUGGGAGACUUGAGUGCAGGAGAGAAAAGUGGAAUUCCACGUGUAGCGGUGAAAUGCGUAGAGAUGUGGAGGAACACCAGUGGCGAAGGCGGCUUUUUGGCCUGUAACUGACGCUGAGGCGCGAAAGCG